UUUUCGAAAACUUUCGAACGAACAAAGAAAAAAACAACCGGAAGUUCCGUUUCACUUCACUCAGGCUCGAACCUUGCUGCAGCCGGAAAAAGGUCUAAGAUGCGUGAAGAUAGACUGCUACAAAGUGCUGCACGUACAACUGAAAUAAGC